rnacentral:rRNA from 1 species
GACGAACGCUGGCGGCGUGCUUAACACAUGCAAGUCGAACGGUGAAGGGGAGCUUGCUCCCCGGAUCAGUGGCGAACGGGUGAGUAACACGUGGGCAACCUGCCCCAGACUUCGGGAUAACGCUUCGAAAGAGGUGCUAAUACCGGAUACGAACUCCUUGGGCAUCCUUGGGGUUGGAAAGUUUUUCGGUCUGGGAUGGGCCCGCGGCCUAUCAGCUUGUUGGUGAGGUAACGGCUCACCAAGGCGACGACGGGUAGCCGGCCUGAGAGGGCGACCGGCCACACUGGGACUGAGACACGGCCCAGACUCCUACGGGAGGCAGCAGUGGGGAAUAUUGCGCAAUGGGCGAAAGCCUGACGCGGCAACGCCGCGUGAGGGAUGACGGCCUUCGGGUUGUAAAGCUCUUUCAGCUGGGAAGGUAAUGACGGUACCAGCAGAAGAAGCCCCGGCUAACUCCGUGCCAGCCGCCGCCGUAAAAC